CAGAACCAGACUGGCUGGUGGUGGGACCCAAACCGUCAUGGCUGCUCCCUCUUGCCCCAGCUGGUUGCUACCCAGCAGGUGUGUCUGUUUACUCCCAGGAGGUCUUUUGUGUCCAGGAAGGUGAAGAGAUCCAGAGAGUGCAAUUCCCCGACUGUCCUCCCACAGCCCAGUGUGGGAUCUGUCCCAGCACAGAGCCCAGGUUGAAGUGCACCUGCAACUUUGAGAUUGGGGCACAUGUCCAAAGGAACUGGCUGCAGUACCCGAAAUCCCUGGAGGAGCCGUCCGAGGGACGUGACUUCCAUGACCGUCCUUGGACAACCUGCUGACCAUGCUGCAGGCAACUCUUGGCUGGAGCCUGCAGCCUGCAUGGGGCAGUCCCGAUGCCAGUGCAGAUGGCGGGGAGUCUAGUGGCAGCUGGCUUUUGCUCUCCUCCCCACCCAUGCACCCUGGGCUCUUGAAACAGAAGAGGAUGCUCUCCAGACCACGGACCAGCCAUCAGUCUUGGAUUCUGAAAAAAUCCUACUCUCAAAUGGCAGCAUAUUUGCAGCACAAGAAUGAGAAUCUGAGAAUAAGAAGCCUUUCCUGGUUCCUGAGCCACAGCUUAUUGUCUUUAUGUGAUAUGGCUUCUCAAGGACA